rnacentral:rRNA from 1 species
UACGGAGGAUGCAAGCGUUAUCCGGAAUGAUUGGGCGUAAAGGGCUCGUAGGUGGCCAACUAAGUCAGACGUUAAAUCCCUUGGCUUAACCGGGGAACUGCGUCUGAUACUGGAUGGCUUGAGUUUGGGAGAGGGAUGCGGAAUUCCAGGUGUAGCGGUGAAAUGCGUAGAUAUCUGGAGGAACACCGGUGGCGAAGGCGGCAUCCUGGACCAACACUGACACUGAGGAGCGAAAGCCAGGGGAGCAAACGGG